CUGACCUCGGUUCAGAC
rnacentral:rRNA from 3 species